rnacentral:rRNA from 1 species
GCUUACGGCCAUACCACCCUGAGCACGCCCGAUCUCGUCUGAUCUCGGAAGCUAAGCAGGGUAGAGCCUGGUUAGUACUUGGAUGGGAGACCGCCUGGGAAUACCAGGUGCUGUAAGCU